GGUUCUGGAAUCCAACCAAGACGGUAGUACCUGAUUAAUAUGGGCUCUCUGAAUAGGCGCCCUUAAGUAAUGGAAAUGGUCCUACAUCCUAAACCAGAUGUCUGCACUCAGCACACUUCCUUCCAGUUACUGCCCAUCCCAAUGACUGCUGAGCAAAUGAUCGCAUACAUUUUCCACCUGAGCCACUCAACUGUGGCUGAAUGAUUACCGCUUUAAUAUUUAUUACUUUUUAGAGACUUCAAAGGAGUCUACAAGAUGAUUUAGGCGUGAGUCCAAG